rnacentral:misc_RNA from 1 species
GAUGAAGAACGUAGCGAAAUGCGAUAAGUAGUGUGAAUUGCAGAAUUCAGUGAAUCAUCGAAUCUUUGAACGCACAUUGCGCCUUCUAGUAUUCUGGGAGGCAUGCCUGUUUGAGCGUCAUUAAACCUCUCUCAAGUAUGAUUACUUGGAUGUGAAGGAAGAGUACCUUAAACUUAAGGAGUGUUCUCCUUUGAAAUUGAUUAGUAGAUGGUAAUGUUAUUAAAUCCCUGAUGUUGUAAGAAAUAACAGUGGUUUUGUAGACUAUUAUCUAGCUUUAAAUUAUAAUUUUUAUUAUGGUUGACCUCAAAUCAGGUAAGGAUACCCGCUGAACUUAAGCAUAUCAAUAAGCGGAGGA